rnacentral:rRNA from 1 species
ACCCUCAACUGGAAUGCGAGUCGUGCGAUCCCCCGUGGCCGAGGAGACCGAUCGACCCUCCAGCCAGCCCCUCUCGAGGAG